rnacentral:rRNA from 1 species
UACAGAGGGGGCAAGCGUUGUUCGGAAUUACUGGGCGUAAAGGGCGCGUAGGCGGCCUUCUAAGUCGAACGUGAAAUCCCCGGGCUCAACCCGGGAACUGCGUCCGAUACUGGAAGGCUUGAAUCCGGGAGAGGGAUGCGGAAUUCCAGGUGUAGCGGUGAAAUGCGUAGAGAUCAGGAAGAACACCGGUGGCGAAAGCGCUCUGCUAGGCCGCAACUGACACUGAGGGACGAAAGCUAGGGGAGCGAAUGGG